rnacentral:tRNA from 1 species
GGCCCGUAGCUUAGCAAGGUAGAGUGCUGGGCUCCAGACCCAGUGGUCCGGGGUUCAAGUCCCCGCGGGCCCA